GGACAGCCGUCUGUCCCUUCGCGUCGCCUCCCCGCCGCGGACCCGGCCCUGCGCGGCCGGACGCCGUCGACCGCCCCGCCGCGGGGGCCGCUCCCGGCCUGGGAGGCGUGGCGCCGGGCUCCCCGGCGGAGGGCCGGUAGAAGUGUUGUAUUUUGCAAAAAGUGCUGAGAUAACAGGAAUUCGCUCAGAGACCAUUUCUGUGCCACAAGAAAUAAAAGCAUUGCAGCUCUGGAAUGAGAUAGAAACCCGCCAUCCUGGAUUGGCUGAUGUCAGAAAUCAGGUGAUAUUCGCUGUUCGUCAAGAGUAUGUCGAGCUUGGAGAUGAGCUCCUCCUGCUUCAGUCAGGAGACGAAAUUGCCGUUAUCCCCCCCAUUAGUGGAGGGUAGUGCUUUGGAGCCACCUGGGAAAAAUAUAAAUGAAGUUGAAGAGAAAUCUAAAGAUAUAAUAAAAUUCACAUCUGAGAAACUUUCAGUAGAUGAAGUCUCACAGCUGGUGAUUUCUCCACUCUGUGGUGCAGUAUCCCUGUUUGUAGGGACUACAAGGAAUAACUUCGAAGGGAAGAAAGUCAUUAGCUUAGAGUAUGAAGCAUAUCUACCAAUGGCAGAAAAUGAAGUCAGAAAAAUUUGUAGUGACAUUAGGCAGAAAUGGCCAGUCAAACACAUAGCAGUGUUCCAUCGACUUGGCUUAGUUCCAGUGUCGGAAGCAAGCAUUAUCAUUGCUGUGUCUUCAGCUCACAGGGCUGCAUCCCUCGAAGCUGUGAGCUAUGCCAUUGAUACUUUAAAAGCCAAGGUGCCCGUAUGGAAAAAGGAAAUGUAUGAAGAGUCAUCAUCAUCUUGGAAAAGAAACAAAGAAUGCUUUUGGGCAACUGAUGAUUAAACCACUGAGGUUUUUAGAGUCCUAAAAUUUAAAACUUGUAAGAAAACAUUCCGGUUGCUGCUGCAUCCUACACGUGCCGCAAGGAAAGGGAUCAGUAACCUCAGUGUUGAUGAAGGCCAACUACUAAGUGGCUUACCAACCUUAAUGGAGAAGGUGAAUUUUGGACCAAUAUCUUCGAAACUGUUCAUGACAGAAGGAAUAUUCCCAUCCGAGGAGACUUCAUAAAAAUUUAUGUUGGUAGAUCUGUUGGAUGAUGUUUGUAAAGCCGAAUAUGUUAGUUAUGCUGUUGUUCUUGAAGUUUCAUAUUUCCUUUAUUUAAAUAUAUUCUAGCUUAUUUUACACGUGAAAGAAUUGGUACAAAACAUUAAAUGAAAACAAAUGCUUCUUAUGGACUUACGGUCCCGUAUACAUUUCUAAGGCUAAAACAAGUUCCUUUCAAAACAUAUCUCUUAAUGAUCAUUCUGCUGAGAUUCUUUGUGUUACAUGUAUAUCAGUUGUAAAGUUUCUAAAAUAAGUACAGAUGUAUUACUUUAGAAUUUGUAGUGAAACUCUUCUCAAGAUUGCUAUUGUAUUGACUGCUGUGUUAAAACAGUGGACACUUGGUCCUUAUUUAUUGGAGGAAUGGAUUUAUAAGGUAGAGGAUGAUGGUAUGAUGGCUGAAAUACAAUGAUAAGAUAUCGGGCAUUCGCUCUUGCACGACCCAUCACUGGAUGCCUGUGAAACGGUAUACAUUUUGUUUAUUAUUCCUUCUCCCUAUUCUUCUCUAGUUCCAAACCAGCUCUGACGCUUUGGUAUGAAUUGGGGUUGCUCAAUCUGUUUCCACCACGGACCGUAGAGACCACCUCUCAGGCAGCUGACCCAGGAGUCUAUUAAACGAGGCCCUGGGGCACUGGCCUAAUCGGGCUCCCCUGCUUCGUCUGCUGAUUAGGGUCUGCACGUGACGUGAUGACCAGGCCAGAGGGAAUCCCCCGGCCCCCCCCCCCCGCACCACAGGACCACUCACACUGGAGUGUAGCUGAAUAUCAUUCCCUCUCUCCGCUCAUUUCUGAGAAUCUGAGACUGGAAGUCAACCAGGGUAGGUUCACUGAGGGGUGGAGGGCAGGUAGCAGGGAUGAGAGUCUGAGAAGCCAUAUUUAUUCCCACCAGACGCUUUAUCCUAACUACAGGAUGUUGAUUCUAUUUCCUAAAAAGAAAAUGAACUGGAUAUUUUCUGAGAUAGAGUUUUUUUGGUUUCUUUACUGAAAAUCUUGCCUUUUUCUUUUGUUAUGCCUUAAAAUUUUCCCCCAAGUUCUCCGAAGGAAAAUAUGUCAUAGGGACUUAAAUAGACGUAGUGUUUGUCAAGGUUAUGUCUGUGAGAGGAAACAGUGAUUUGCCAGCCUUAUAUGGAAAAUGGGAAAAUGGACUAGGAUUUAAAGCAGAAAGCCUGACUCCAAUAAAAAUUAAUUAUAAGAAAAGAAAAGAAAACAGAAAGUCUGGCUGUAUGUGCAUGAAUUAUUCCUUUUGCCUUCCAGAAGAUCUUUGUAUGACUCCUUAAGUAUGGCCAGUUUUUAAAUUGAUUAAUAUGCUCUGUUUUUACAUUUUAAAGAGAUCCAGCAUUUUUCCAUCUGUUACUUAAGUGUUCCUUCAGUUGCUUACGUGUUGAUCAAUAUAUUUAUACUAGCAGUUAGCUAUACUCAGGUGGAUCCUGUGUUAGAAGUAGUUCUACUGUCAUUUAUUUCCACCCAUCAUAUUUGCACAAAAUAAUUGCACACUUAUACAGUAUCAAAGUGGUUCCUAAGGGAUACACUCAAUAACUGGGUAGGACUUUUUUUCAGAAAAAGUAAACUCUGUGUAUGUGUGUAUGUGUGUGUGUGUGUGUGUGUGUGUGUGUGUGUGUGAUGCAUAUAUCCUGGUAGACACAUAAACCCUGCAUCUGGAAGGUAUUCUGAAAACAGUCAAGUUAGUCAUGUACAAAAUGACCAGAGGAGACAGGGAGGGAUGAUUUCACUUUUCAUUGUGUAUCCUUCUGUCAUGUUUGGAUUUUCUAUCCAUGGACAUUUAAUGUCUUUUUUUUUUAGAAAAGACGUUAAGAGAAAUUAUCUGGGUGGUAGGCUUAGGAGCCACUUUAGCCUUUUUCUUUAUAAUUCUCCAUAUUUUUUUAACUGCAUGAUAUACUUUAAAGAAUAUCAGAAUGUCUGAGAAUCCCAUUUACCAUCACAAAAAUACAUAGCUAAGAUGUUAGUAAAAGUGAAGUCCCACUUCAGUAUUAUAUUCAUUUCAUUUUAAAAUAUCUGAAAAACUUGGCUAUGGUGGGAGAAUGGAAUUAUAAAAAGGCUCUAUUAACAAAAAGUAUUUAGGAUGAGAAAGAUGCAUUACAGGUGGGAAGAAAAAAAAUCAGGUAAUGCGGUGCUAUCAACCUCUGGCUGCCUCUGUUUUCAGCAGCUUAUUUUAGCAGCUGAGGGCCCUUUGAAAUCAUCCGUUACUGAAUAAUUUUUCAGGCAUGGAUGACUUGGACUAUACUUUGUUUUCCUGCUUUUUGCUGUUUGCAACUCACUCGAAACAGAAGCAUUCUUUUCAUCUUUGCUCAUGUGUCUCCAGCUCUAGACAUACUGACAUAUUUUCCUUUUUGUUUUUGCUUAGGGGUCUGUUGGGUGAUAUACUUAGUCCAUGCUUUAGGGGCUGGAGUGAUGUUAGAGAAAUCUGUGGUCACUGCACACUUUGCAGCCUGCCUCCUUGGGGAUGCACUGCUGCGUGUCUUCCAGGGGUCAUUGAUCUGUGCUGCGAAGCUGCCUUAGUGUUUCAGCAGGUAGAGAACUCUGGUGCCCAGGCUUGGAGAGGGGUGUCACCUGCAGCCUGUGUACCUGCAUAGCUGUGCCCACGAACCCACAUCACUUCUUGAGGGUGAUAAUAUUAGCACCUGUGGUGUCUACAUGUUACUCAUCUUUCAAGACAUCUGUCUCUCUGAACAAUUCAAGAUAACUGGUAUCAACUGGUACCAUUUUGCCCGGUGCUCUAAGGUUUACUUGCUGUGCGCAGGCAAGAAAAUGGAAUAACUCAUUUUUUCUGGAUGACCUCUUUUGAAAAUGCCUCAUUUCUUCCUGGUUGGAAGAAACCCCUAAUCUGCUAUGUCAGGAAUUUUCCACCCAGAAACUAAUUUUCUGCGACUAGAUUCAGCAUUUGUGCUUGGGGCCUCAACAUCGGGGUGGGGACGUUGCUUGAGAUCUCCUGUGGACCGCAGGACACAGGUGAGGAGAAGGAAGGGGGGGGGCAACUCCUCGGGGCCCUGCGAGUUCUGCUUUGACGGCUCGUCCAAGGGCCUUCCCCUUGGCACGUGACAGAGGAUUAUUCCUGUGUCUUUCUGGUGUUGCUCUUAGUCAGUAAACCUAAAGAGUCCCUCAAGAUUCCCCAAGGGACCAGUUUGUCUCUGGACUUCUGUUUUAGUUGACAAGGAGGAAAUAUUGGAAUUCAAAUUCCCCAGUUAGAAUGAACACACAGAGGACUUGUUUAGCCAUGAACCAGCUGUGUUCCGAGCCGGAGCGAUGUCCACGCUCACAGGCUGCCCACUGUCUCACCCACCUCGUUAUGUGAAUUUCAGCAUCAUACAGCAGAGGCAGUUUGAAGUUGACUGAAUUAUCUGCCUUGUUUUCCUCGAAGCUUUCGCUAUUGAAAGGAACAUUAGGAAAUUACUGAAAGAGAAACAUUAGCAAAGCCACCCAUCAUCAAUUCAUGACUUCAUCGUGUUUUACCUUGAGGCUUGGAAACUGACAGAUGCCUGAUUCUGAAGGUUUUGAAGAUUGAAGUCGAAGUUAAUAGUAAACGUCACCUAUACACAAAAUGAAAAUUCAUCAAUCUCUGGAUGCUUUGUACUCUGGGGCCAACGUGAAAAAAAAAGUGCCCCAUAAACGUAAACUCACUCAGCAUUUGAUGCUGAAUUUUAUAAACCGUAAGCUUUCUAAUUUGUAGAAUUUCAGUGCAUUUGUCCAGCUUGCCUCACCUUCAGAAUAGAGCUGAAUUCACCCGACAUAUACCUAGCGCACACCACAGGCACUUAGACUUACCUGGGUUUGAAGGCUUUGUGCUGAUGCACUUUGCUUACCAAGGGUUAAAAAUGACAUCCAUGACUGUGUAAAGGAUGUUGGUCAAUGUGCUCAGAAAUAAAGAACCUUUAUCGUAUGUGCCUUUGUGAAUGAAUUGCAUGGGGGAAAUCCCACUUUUAUUAAUAACUGAAAGAAAACAUGCAGAUAUUUAAAAACUUCCUCUAAAUGUGCAGGCAGUUAUUUUGUGGUGCCUAGCAAAUGAUGAUACCUAACAUAAAGAUGGUUCGUUGGUGAAUUAACACCAAUGGCAAGGAGGGACCAGCAUGGAUUUGAGGAUGAAAUGCAAGGUGUACCUGUUGUUCCCUCUUUAAAGCAGGGUAGCCCACAUCGCAGGUCACAGACUUCUGAGAUGAAGCAAUCUGGCAUGUCACUUCUGUCCCAUCAACCUGAAUGAGACCAAGGAAACCAUGAUCAAUUAGUAUUCAAUGUGUGUGUGUGUGUGUGUGUGCGCGCGCGCCCGCGAGCGCGUACAUACAUGCUGAAGGAUGUGUAAACUACCUGGACAUGUAGCAGUAAGGUUGGUUUACAAAAAGACUUGAAAAUCUUGUAUGUAUUUUUAAAAUAAAACAUACUAUUUUUAUUGCUAAGCAGGACACCCAACAAGACAAAGGAGAGGUCAAAUACUGGAAUUUUUCCCCAGAAAUAAAUAUUUCUUAUAUUUCAAGAGUGCAAAAUAACUUCAAUCCACUAUUAAGAAAUGCUGUCUUUAAUACAUACUUUUCUCUCAAUAUAUUUGAAAGUUGUAGUUUCAAGAGAAAAACAAAAUAUAGUUUUUGUUUAUAUUUUAAAUAAUUUUUAAAGAAUCACUUUUAGUUUUCCUCAGGUUUUUUCUCUUUAAGAAGCUGUGACUUCCAGUGGUUGAGAAUCCGCCUGCCAACACAGGGGACACGGGUUUGAUCCCUGGUCUGGGAAGAUCCCACAUGCACUAAGCCCAUGUGCCACAACUACUGAGCCUGCAUGCCACAACUACUGAAGCCCACACACCUAGAGCCCGUGCUCCGCAACUAGAGAAAGCCCGUGCACAGCAACGAAGACCCAAUGCAGCCAAAAAAUUAAAAAAUUAAAAUUAAAUUGUAAAAAAAAAAAAGUUGUCCUUUGCCACAAGAAAUUUAAACAGUGAAGUCAGAAUAGGUUUAGAACACUAAAUCUAUUAAGUUCACAUUGACUUUAAAUGGGAUGAAACCAUUUUUUAAUCCUUUCAUCAAGCAGUGAAUUUGGAAAAUCGUGGCUUUUCCCAUCUCUCCUUUUCACUGCUUGGUGGCAGAGGAGGGACCAGCUGGGGAGCAUUCAUGGUCAAUUGUGUUCCUGGUAUAGCGAUCAACUCAACGUGAUUAGCUGACCUCACUGGAAUGCAUCAUCUUGGCAGCAGCAAGACCUGUGGUUACAAAGCUUGGGCUGAGCUGUGGGACUCUUGAUUUCUCGGAGCAAGUGCAGCUCCCAGCAUCUGUGCGGCACCGCGGUAGCCUCAUCACACAGAUGGCCUGAGGAGAGUCUGGUUUACGAUUAGAGUCUGGCUACUACUGCCAAAUGUCAGGGCAAAGGAAAAACUGACCCAAGCUGUGAAGCCGAAUUGGUCUAGAUACACAGCCAGGCUAUGUUCUCAAGCAGUUUAACUAGUUGGGAGCCACAAGUCAGGACUGAUCAUGCCCAGGGUGAAGGUGUUUCUUCAGAAAACACAGAGGACAUGGAGGUGUGCGUAUAAGGGAGAUGGUAAUUGACAAGUAGGAAACAGGUCAGCAGUUAACACUGGGUGCCUUCACGUACCGGCAUGGACCAGGAAG